rnacentral:rRNA from 1 species
GACGAACGCUGGCGGCGUGCUUCAUACAUGCAAGUCGAGCGGAAAGGCCCUUCGGGGUACUCGAGCGGCGAACGGGUGAGUAACACGUGAGCAAUCUGCCUUCAGCUCCGGGAUAACACGUGGAAACAGGUGCUAAUACCGGAUAUGACCUCGAAGGACAUCCUUUGAGGUGGAAAGUUUUUCGGUCUGAAGAUGAGCUCGCGGCCUAUCAGCUUG